UACGUAGGGUGCGAGCGUUGUCCGGAAUUAUUGGGCGUAAAGAGCUCGUAGGCGGUUUGUCGCGUCGGCCGUGAAAACUUGGGGCUUAACCCCAAGCCUGCGGUCGAUACGGGCAGACUUGAGUUCGGCAGGGGAGACUGGAAUUCCUGGUGUAGCGGUGAAAUGCGCAGAUAUCAGGAGGAACACCGGUGGCGAAGGCGGGUCUCUGGGCCGAUACUGACGCUGAGGUGCGAAAGCGUGGGGAGCAAACAGG
rnacentral:rRNA from 1 species